rnacentral:rRNA from 1 species
UACGGGGGGGGCAAGCGUUGUUCGGAAUUACUGGGCGUAAAGGGCUCGUAGGCGGCCAACUAAGUCGGAUGUGAAAUCCCCAGGCUUAACCUGGGAACUGCAUCCGAUACUGGAUGGCUUGAAUCCGGGAGAGGGAUGCAGAAUUCCAGGUGUAGCGGUGAAAUGCGUAGAUAUCUGGAGGAAUACCGGUGGCAAAGGCGGCAUCCUGGACCGGCAUUGACGCUGAUGAGCGAAAGCUAGGGGAGCAAACGGG